rnacentral:tmRNA from 1 species
GGGGACGCGUGGUUUCGACAGUUUGGUAAAUAUAAAACUGCGGGUCGUGGUAUCGUUCCACGUAAAAAACGGUAAAAAUAUAAACGGCGAAAAAGAACUCGCUCUCGCUGCAUAAUAAAUAUAGCGCGACGUUCGACUUGUUUUAAAUCCGGCGAAACAGGAUCGAGCGACGGUAGUCCGGAUUGCAACCUGUACUUCGAUCAGUAGUCAGAUGUAAGAAUAAAUCUGAUCAAGCUAAUUUGCUUAGUUAGCCAGUCGACUGGCUUAUUAGUUAUAAGGACUGGAUACACUCGUAGAUGUUGAAAUAUGAACCUAAUUGGACGGGGAGUUCAACUCUCCCCCGUCUCCACCA